UUUUCCUGCCGGGAGAGCCAGGAGAAUCUGUGAGAAGUGGCCAGGGCACAGGUGGAGCUGCCUGCGCGCGCGCACACACACACACGCACGCACACACACACACACACACACACACACACACACACACGCACGCACGCACGCACGCCUCGGGACGCAGCCCUGGCAGGACCAGGCCCCCUCCCGGCAGGUGCGCGGAACUGACACGGAUUUCCCUCUGCCCUCGAGCUUCCGAACCUGCCGCCCACCCUGUCCCACAGACACCGACGCUGCAGUGAUCUGCAGGGCCUGAAACUCGCCCGGGGAGAACGCCCUCCCCUUGACGAAGGACGGCCUCCUACGGCCCGGCCCCCGGCGCUCCUCCUCUCCGCUCCGCCCUUUCCGAGCCGGUCCCGCGGGAGCCCGCGGCGGGGUAGAGGAAAGCGAAUCUGGGAGAGUGGUGCAAAGAAAGUUCCAAUCUGCUGCUCGAGCAUCACCAAUGUCCACCCUAAGUGCAACCCCCAGUCAGAGGUUAUAUGUGUAUAUCCCAUACUCCACGUCCAGAUCAGAAGAAGCCCAGCUGUCUUUGGUCAUUGGACUCUUCUCCACAUCCUUGGAAUAAAGGCUACUGUUUCUUUAUAUUUAUUCUCUUUCUUCACACUGAAAGCCCUUUCAUUUGGUUCCCUGGCUGGGAAGGCAGCGGGAGUGACUCCUGGGGUGCUCGCAGUUUGAGUCCCUCUGCUAAUUCACGGACCAGACCAUAUUUGGGAUUAAUUCCUCAUUUCUCAACACUUGGGAGCUUCUCAACUUGUCGCCACCAGCCUGCAAACACCAGCCUAUCUCUUUUAUCACAGCAGUGCGCUGGGGCUCCCAAGACAGGAAAGCCAAAACAAGGUGGAGCUGCUCAAGCCCCUCCUGGACCAUGCUUCAAGUGCAAUCAAGAAGGAUAUUGGGCAAGACAGUGCCCCAAUCCUGGUGUUCCUUUGGGGUCUUGCCCCUAUUGCAAUCUCAAGGGCCACUGGAAGAGUGACUGUCCUAACUGCCAUAGAGCAGUCUAAUGUGCAGGCAUUCCCCAAUGAUGAAGUUGUCCUGGCUGAAACACCUAGCACCAGCUUCUGCAUGGGCAUCAACCAUCAUCCCGUCAACCUUUCAGCAGGAAUCAUGGUAUGAAGAAAGUCCCAAUCAGUUGUUCGACUGUCACCAGUGCCCACCCUAAGAGAAACAUCCAGUCAGAGGUUAUAUAUAUAUCCCAUACCACCUGUCCCAGUCAGAAGAGGCCUGGGCAUUUUUGGUCAUUUGACUAUUCUCCAUAUCCUUGGAAUAAAGGCUACUGUUUCUUUA